AAUAUUAAUAUAAUUGGUGAG
rnacentral:miRNA from 1 species